rfam:Triticum aestivum genome assembly, contig: Triticum_aestivum_CS42_TGACv1_scaffold_020234_1AS
UAGCUUUUGUCCCAAGUCAAAGUUUUAAAAUUUUGAUCAACUUUAAGGAAAGAGUAGUGGCAUAUAUGACAUCAAAUUGAUACAUUAUGAAACUACAUUUCAAAACGAAUCUAAUAAUACUAAUUUAGUGCCAUAAAUGCUGCUACUUUUCUCUAUAAAAUUGGUCAAAGUUUUAAAACUUUGACUUGGGAGAAAAGCUAGA